ensembl:lncRNA
AUGGCGGCCACUUCUUCCUCCCUUUCCCGUGUCCGGCACUCAGACACCUCCAGCUCCCUUUCACGGUCGAUUCUCCUCUCCAUCAGGGGCUCUUCCCUGUCUCUUCUGGAGCAAAUUCUCCUCUCUUCCUCCUCACGCUCACGGGGACGUUCUCUCCGUCUCAGCUCCUCACCUCGUUCCCGGAUCUCACGGCGCACUCUGACAUCGGCUUCUGCUGCUGCCACUGAGAUCUCUCUUCUCCGGUCAUACACUUCUUGUCCUCUCCUUGUAGCUACUUCAGCCUCACGAAUUUCUCGCUCUCGUCUCUCCCGUGCCUCUCUCAGGUUUCUGGCGGCCACUUCUUCCUCCCUUUCCCGUGUCCAGCGCUCAGACACCUCCAGUUCCCGUUCACGGUCGAUUCUCCUCUCCCUCAGGGGCUCUUCCCUCUCUCUGAUCCGGGGAAUUCUCCCUGGCUCUGCUUCCUCCUCACGCUCAGAGGGAAGUUCUCUUCUUCUCAGCUCUUCUCGUGGUUCUCGCUCCCGGAUCUCACAGCGCACUCUGACGUCGGCUUCUGCUGCUGCCACUGAGAUCUCUCUUCUCCGGUCAUACACUUCUUGUCCUCUCCUUGUAUCUACUUCAGCCUCACGAAUGUCUCGCUCUCGUCUCUCCCGUGUCUCUCUUUGGUUAAUGGCCGCAAAUUCUUCCUCCCUUUCCCGUGUCCGGCGCUCAGACACCUCCAGCUCCUGUUCACGGUCGAUUCUCCUCUCCCUCAGGGGCUCUUCCCUCUCUCUUCUUGUGCAAAUUCUUCUGUCUUCUUCACACUCACGGGGACGUUCUCUCCGUCUCAGCUCCUCGCCUCGUUCCUGGAUCUCACGGCGCACUCUGACAUCGGCUUCUGCUGCUGCCACUGAGAUCUCUCUCUCCCUCUCAUACCUCACUGAUUCUCUCUGUCUCCUUCCAUCUUCAAGGUCACGAAUUUCUCGCUCUCGUCUCUCCCGUGUCUCUCUCAGGUUUCUGGCAGCCACUUCUUCCUCCCUUUCCCGUGUUCGCUGUUCAGACACCUCCAGAUCCCGUUCACGGUCGAUUCUCCUCUCCCUCAGGGGCUCUUCCCUCUCUCUGACCCGGCGAAUUCUCCCUGGCUCUGCUUCUUCCUCACGGUCAGAGGGACGUUCUCUCCGUCUCAGCUCCUCACCUCGCUCCCGGAUCUCGCGGCGCACUCUGACAUCGGCUUCUGCUGCUGCCACUGAGAUCUCUCUCUCCCUCUCGUACCUCACUGAUUCUCUCUGUUGUCUUCCAUCAUCCAGGCCACGUAUUUCUCGCUCUCGUCUCUCCCGUGUCUCUCUUUGGUUAAUGGCAGCAAAUUCUUCCUCCCUUUCUCGUGUCCGGUGCUCAGACACCUCCAGCUCCCGUUCAUGGUUUAGUCUCCUCUCCCUCAGGGGCUCUUCCCUGUCUCUUCUGGAGCAAAUUCUCCUCUCUUCCUCCUCACGCUCACGGGGACGUUCUCUCCGUCUCAGCUCCUCACCUCGUUCCUGGAUCUCACGGCGCACUCUGACGUCGGCUUCUGCUGCUGCCACUGAGAUCUCUCUUCUCCUGUCAUACACUUCUUGUUCUCUCCUUCCAUCAGCUUCAAGGUCACGAAUUUCUCGCUCUCGUCUCUCCUGUGUCUCUCUCUGGCGCACUGUUGCCACUUCUUCCUCCCUUGCACGUGUCCGGCGCUCAGACACCUCCAGCUCCCGUUCACGGUCGAUUCUCCUCUCCCUCAGGGGCUCUUCCCUGUCUCUGACCCGGGAAAUUCUCCUCUCUUCCUCCUCACCCUCACAGGGACGUUCUCUCCGUCUCAGCUCCUCACCUCGUUCCCGGAUCUCACGGCGCACUCUGACAUCGGCUUCUGCUGCUGCCACUGAGAUCUCUCUCUCCCUCUCGUACCUCACUGAUUCUCUCUGUCGUCUUCCAUCACCAAGGUCACGAAUUUCUCGCUCUCGUCUCUCCCGUGUCUCUCUUUGGUUAAUGGCAGCAAAUUCUUCCUCCCUUUCCCGUGUCCGGCGCUCAGACACCUCCAGAUCCCGUUCACGGUCGACUCUCCUCUCCCUCAGGGGCUCUUCCCUGUCUCUGAUCCGGGGAAUUCUCCCUGGCUCUGCUUCUUCCUCACGCUCAUGGGGACGUUCUCUCCGUCUCAGCUCCUCACCUCGUUCCCGGAUCUCACGGCGCACUCUGACAUCGGCUUCUGCUGCUGCCACUGAGAUCUCUCUUCUCCGGUCAUACACUUCUUGUUCUCUCCUUCCAUCAACUUCAGCCUCAUGA